UACGGAGGGUGCAAGCGUUAUCCGGAUUCACUGGGUUUAAAGGGUGCGUAGGUGGGCAGGUAAGUCAGUGGUGAAAUCUCCGGGCUUAACUCGGAAACUGCCAUUGAUACUAUCUGUCUUGAAUACCGUGGAGGUUAGCGGAAUAUGUCAUGUAGCGGUGAAAUGCUUAGAUAUGACAUAGAACACCAAUUGCGAAGGCAGCUGGCUACACGGAAUAUUGACACUGAU
rnacentral:rRNA from 1 species